rnacentral:lncRNA from 1 species
AGCAGCACACAAAUGACAUGUUUACUCCUGUGCUGGCCCAGAAGGUGGUGCUUGUUGAUCCCCAGCAGUUUGUGAGGGUGGGUUGGGCUGUUGAGGUCCUGCCGGCUGAGCAUUGGGCUGUUGAGCUCCUGCCUGGUGAGCAUUGGGCUGUUGAGGUCCUGCCUGGUGACCACUAGCGGGGCGUAGAGGUGCAUUAGGUUGAUAAUGGGAUCCUGCUUGGUGACCACCCGGGGCUUGUGGGGGUGCAUGCGGCUGAUAAGGGGGUUGAGGAUAUUGUUGGUAAGUUUGAGGUGCAUUGGUUU